GAUUCACAGUGAGGAGCGGACAUGGUAUCUGGCAAGCUUGCUUGCACGAUACCAUGUAUGCGACGAACGUAACGGCUGAGCAGCAUGCACGAAGUGCAAAUGCUGCGAAAGACGUAGGACUGCGGGAGCGAAGCGGAGCAGACCGUGUGAAUC
rnacentral:sRNA from 1 species